rnacentral:rRNA from 1 species
AUACGGAGGGUGCAAGCGUUAAUCGGAAUUACUGGGCGUAAAGCGUACGUAGGCGGUUAUUUAAGUCAGAUGUGAAAGCCCCGGGCUUAACUUGGGAACUGCAUUUGAAACUGGGUAACUAGAGUUUAGUAGAGGGGAGUGGAAUUUCAGGUGUAGCGGUGAAAUGCGUAGAGAUCUGAAGGAACGCCAGUGGCGAAGGCGACUCCCUGGACUAAAACUGACGCUGAGGUACGAAAGCGUGGGUAGCAAACAGGAUUAGAAACCCUAGUAGUCC